UGGAUUUAUAUCUCACUUUAAAGUAACAGAGAUUGUGUCCACAUAAUUUUUGAGUUCAUGGCACAUUAUUUAAUUAUAAAUGAACCUGUAUGCUGAAUUAUUGGCGCUGCACGACACUUGUGUGUUGGAUUGCAGUUAUUCACUGGAUGGAGCGGAGAAAGAAGACAAGGAGAGAACAGAAUUCACUCACCUGCAACAAAAUAAAAGUAUACAUAUGCAUGGAAAAGCAACAAGAAACACUGCUCUGAAGCUGUUCUUGAAAUGUCAAGAUUUCAAGGUUUCUGUUCAAAGACUAGAACAUGACAGGAAAAGAUUUCCUGAAGGCUGUAAAGCAGAAGCUAUCCUGCUUCAUUGUGGAGAAGAGACUAAAUUUUCACUUCAACAGCCACCUUUCUUAAUUUUUCUGAUGUGAUCUUCAGCUUCAGAAAGUACAGAGGAAACAACAAGCAUCCAAGAACUGCAGUUUACCUCAACAAAUCCAGUGCAUAUAUUCAUACAAUUUACUGUGUACUUUUCACAUUUACACUUUUUUUUUUUUUCUUAUAUAGGCAUAGACUAUCCACUGAUUUCAAAAUUAGGAAGAGUUUAAAAUAAUAAAAGUAGAAUCUAUGUCUGUUUGGUGUUCUGCCAGUACUUACUCUACAUACUUUAUACGACACAGGCCACUUAUAGAUACAUUUUUAAAGUACACAUUAACCUUACUUAAAUCACAUUAGAACUGAACUUAAGUUGCAUUCCACAGAGAGACAGAUUAAUAAAGGUGAAAAGAAGAUCAUGUUUCUCCAGUUAGCUUCUUGUCAACUCUGUAGCUUCUUGUCAACUCUGUAGGUCUAGAUGAUAUCAAGAUGCUUUGGAGAGAAACAAACACUCCAGCUAAAUAAUCAGUAAGAUAUUUAUUUUAUCAAAAUCUGCACACACAAAGUGAUUUAAAGCUUCACCACACAGAACAAAUACCUAGGUCCUUUUGGGUUUGUUUUUCUUUGUUUUCAUUUUCUAGGAGUAAUAAAGACCUUGGGGCAGGGCAUUUCCUUUGGAUUAAUGACCGGCUGGGGUUAAUGGCCAGGAGCUGUUCUUUGGGCCAUCAACUUCUCUCAGGCGGUCAAUUAAUCCCCAGGAAAUGCUCUGUGCCUCAAUCAUUAUUGCUUAAUUUCAGUGCAAACAAACUACUGUGGCAGAUAGCAUGCUGUAUGGGAUCCCUUAAGCACAAGGAGCAGAGAUUCAGUUAAUUUAAUCAAUUGUUUACACUAUGGUCUAUUUUCUGUAGCAAAAGGAAAUCACAGAUUUUUUGACUCUUAUAUGAAAUCUGUUGGUUGGUCUCAUUAUAAUUUAAUAGACUGAACCAUUUCUGUGUGAGUUAUUUGGUUUGUCACUUACAUUGUCAUUGUUAUUAAUGAUAAGCUGGAUGGCUAUUGCUCAUUUUAUUUCCUGGCACAAUUUAAAUGAAUGCCCUAAACAUCAUUUACAAAAUCCAUUUACCGAUGAGACUGUUACUUCAUCUUACAUAUAAGCUUAUUAAAUUUUACAAGAUAUCUCAUUUGACACAUCCUGACAUUUACUGGACAGUUUCAGGAGUGCCACAGAGUUAUUAAAUUAUCAGCAGUAAAAUACAACAUGGACUUUUUCCAGGCUUGUGCUACACAAAUAUUUACGAGAGCACUGAAUUUUGUUAUUUCUCUAGUCUACUUGAUAAUCCCCUGAUUAGACGUCUCUAUGCUUGGUGGAGCCAAAGAAAAACUGUAAAUAGUCAAAGGCAAUGAAACCUAUUUGUUUUUAAUGGCUAACUUUACAAUAGUUUGACUUAAGAAAACUACUUCAUCAAACUGGCCAACCUCAUUGAUUUCUCAGCUUUGGGACUGUCACAAAAGGAUUCAAAGAAACUAUUAGUUGUAACUGAAAGCUACUUUUACUACAGCUUUAAAUGCUGGAAACUUCAGCAGUGUAGAUGCUGCUAACUAACUGUGGUGCUUAUCCUGUCUUUCGUGUGAAAAAUAGAGUUAAAACUUCAAAUGUAGGCAAUAGGUGGGUGCCUAUUGUCAAAAGCAUUUAUUCUUUUCUAAACCUUUACUCUUAAUUGAGAUCCUAGUUCAAAGACAAUACCAUGCUGAAAUGCAUACUCUGGAGUUUAAAUUACUGUUUUCAUGCACCUGGUAUAUUCUUUACACUUAGAUGCAUUCACCAUGAAAUUCCACCAUGGUAUGCAAAGCGUCCAGAACAUGUGUCCUGUAAAUAUUCACAGCUUUACAUUGUUGUGCUAGGCACUUUGCUGACUCCUUCUCUGAAUUCAAGAGAGAGAUUAGGCUGUAAAGUCAAUGACAGAACAAGAAGUUGGGUAAUAAAAAUUCACCAUCUUUACUGGGCAGAACUCAAAGUAUAAAACCUAAGCAGAUAUCAAGGUUGAAUUUCCAAAUAAGUUUAUCCACUUCACAUAAGAUAGAUGAGUUCCUAAAGAGAAGAUGCUGAAAGCUUUAUUAUUAUACUCUACUACCACUACUUGUCUGGAAGGCACUCCAAUGGUGUGCAGGUUCCCUGUGAAGAGCAUAGGAUGAAAUGCUAGCGAACCUGAACUGAAGGUAGUGAAACAAGGUGGUCUGUUGCAUAAUUUGUUUUGAAAACAUCCUCACAUUUUUUCCCCAAAAUACAGCGUAUGUCAGAAGUUGGU